ACUGAAUAGAUACCCGGGUAGUCCACGCCGUAAACGAUGAUAACUAGCUGUCGGGGGUCAUGGACUUUCGGUGGCGCAGCUAAACGCAUUAAGUUAUCCGCCUGGGGAGUACGGCCGCAAGGUUAAAACUCAAAGAAAUUGACGGGGGCCUGCACAAGCGGUGGAGCAUGUGGUUUAAAUUCGAAGCAACGCGCAGAACCUUACCAGCGUUUGACAUCCUGAUCGCGGUUACCAGAGAUGGUUUCCUUCAGUUCGGCUGGAUCAGUGACAGGUGCUGCAUGGCUGUCGUCAGCUCGUGUCGUGAGAUGUUGGGUUUAAGUCCCGCAACGAGCGCAACCCUCGUCUUUAGUUGCCAUCAUUUAGUUGGGCACUCUAAAGAAACCGCCGGUGAUAAGCCGGAGGAAGGUGGGGAUGACGUCAAGUCCUCAUGGCCCUUACGCGCUGGGCUACACACGUGCUACAAUGGCGGUGACAACGGGCUGCUACCUCGCGAGGGGAAGCUAAUCCCAAAAAGCCGUCUCAGUUCGGAUUGUUCUCU
rnacentral:rRNA from 1 species